rnacentral:rRNA from 1 species
UACGUAGGGGGCAAGCGUUGUCCGGAAUCAUUGGGCGUAAAGAGCGUGUAGGCGGCCCGGUAAGUCCGCUGUGAAAGUCCAGGACUCAACCCUGGGAUGCCGGUGGAUACUGUCGGGCUCGAGUCCGGAAGAGGAGUGUGGAAUUCCUGGUGUAGCGGUGAAAUGCGCAGAUAUCAGGAGGAACACCGAUUGCGAAGGCAGCUCGCUGGGACGUUACUGACGCUGAGACGCGAAAGCGUGGGGAGCAAACAGG